rnacentral:rRNA from 1 species
UACGUAGGGUGCAAGCGUUGUCCGGAAUCAUUGGGCGUAAAGAGCGUGUAGGCGGCUCGAUCAGUCUGCUGUGAAAGCCCAGGGCUCAACCCUGGGAUGCCGGUAGAUACUGUCGAGCUAGAGUCCGGAAGAGGCGAGUGGAAUUCCUGGUGUAGCGGUGAAAUGCGCAGAUAUCAGGAGGAACACCAAUGGCGAAGGCAGCUCGCUGGGACGGUACUGACGCUGAGACGCGAAAGCGUGGGGAGCGAACAGG